GGGGUUGUAGCUCAUUGGUAGAGCACUCACUUAGCAUGUGUGAGGCACUGGGUUUGAUCCUCAGCACCACA
rnacentral:tRNA from 1 species